rnacentral:rRNA from 1 species
UACGAAGGGAGCUAGCGUUGUUCGGAAUCACUGGGCGUAAAGCGCACGUAGGCGGACGUGUCAGUCAGGGGUGAAAUCCCGGAGCUCAACUUCGGAACUGCCUUUGAUACAGCACGUCUUGAGUCCGGAAGAGGUGGGUGGAACUGCGAGUGUAGAGGUGAAAUUCGUAGAUAUUCGCAAGAACACCAGUGGCGAAGGCGGCUCACUGGCCCGGUACUGACGCUGAGGUGCGAAAGCGUGGGGAGCAAACAGG